rnacentral:rRNA from 1 species
GACGAACGCUGGCGGCGUGCUUAACACAUGCAAGUCGAGCGGAGCGGCGAACGGGUGAGUAACGCGUGAGUAAAUGCCCCCCUCUCUGGGAUAACAGUUGGAAACGGCUGCUAAUACCGGAUAGUGGGGGAUGGCUCGCGUACUAUCAGCUUGUUGGUGGGGUAGUGGCCCACCAAGGCGCUGACGGGUAGCCGGACUGAGAGGGCGACCGGCCACAAGAGGAUGAGAGACGUCCCAAAAUCCGACGGGAGGCAGCAGGGGGGAAUAUUGCCCAAGGGGGGAAACCCUGAUGCAGCAACGCGCGUGCGGGAUGACGGUCUUCGUGUUGUAAACCGCUUUCAGCCAUGACGCGGUAGUGGCACAAGAAGCACCGGCGAACUACGUGCCAGCAGCCGCAGUAAUUC